AGCCACUGCUAUGGGGGUCCGACUAAGCCAUGCGAGUCAAGGGGGCGUCCCUUCUGGGGCGCCACCGGCGGACGGCUCAGUAACACGUCGGUAACCUACCCUCGGGAGGGGGAUAACCCCGGGAAACUGGGGCUAAUCCCCCAUAGGCCUGGGGUACUGGAAGGUCCCCAGGCCGAAAGGGGCCUUGUGCCCGCCCGAGGAUGGGCCGGCGGCCGAUUAGGUAGUUGGUGGGGUAACGGCCCACCAAGCCGAAGAUCGGUACGGGCCGUGAGAGCGGGAGCCCGGAGAUGGACACUGAGACACGGGUCCAGGCCCUACGGGGCGCAGCAGGCGCGAAACCUCCGCAAUGCGGGAAACCGCGACGGGGGGACCCCCAGUGCCGUGCCUCUGGCACGGCUUUUCCGGAGUGUAAAAAGCUCCGGGAAUAAGGGCUGGGCAAGGCCGGUGGCAGCCGCCGCGGUAAUACCGGCGGCCCGAGUGGUGGCCACUAUUAUUGGGCCUAAAGCGGCCGUAGCCGGGCCCGUAAGUCCCUGGCGAAAUCCCACGGCUCAACCGUGGGGCUCGCUGGGGAUACUGCGGGCCUUGGGACCGGGAGAGGCCGGGGGUACCCCCGGGGUAGGGGUGAAAUCCUAUAAUCCCGGGGGGACCGCCAGUGGCGAAGGCGCCCGGCUGGAACGGGUCCGACGGUGAGGGCCGAAGGCCAGGGGAGCGAACCGGAUUAGAUACCCGGGUAGUCCUGGCUGUAAAGGAUGCGGGCUAGGUGUCGGGCGAGCUUCGAGCUCGCCCGGUGCCGUAGGGAAGCCGUUAAGCCCGCCGCCUGGGGAGUACGGCCGCAAGGCUGAGACUUAAAGGAAUUGGCGGGGGAGCACUACAAGGGGUGGAGCCUGCGGUUU
rnacentral:rRNA from 1 species